UCCGGUUUGUCACCGGCAGUCUCAUUAGAGUGCCCAACUAAAUGUAGCAACUAAUGAUAAGGGUUGCGCUCGUUACGGGACUUAACCCAACAUCUCACAACACGAGCUGACGACAGCCAUGCAGCACCUGUCUCUAGGUUCCUUUCGGCACUUCCACAUCUCUGUAGAAUUCCUAGGAUGUCAAGGGUAGGUAAGGUUCUUCGCGUUGCAUCGAAUUAAACCACAUGCUCCACCGCUUGUGCGGGCCCCCGUCAAUUCCUUUGAGUUUUAACCUUGCGGCCGUACUCCCCAGGCGGAGAACUUAUCGCGUUAGCUUCGAUACUCAUUCGCUCGCGCGAACCAACAUCUAGUUCUCAUCGUUUACAGCGUGGACUAC
rnacentral:misc_RNA from 1 species